UAUUCACAAAUUUAAAUAAAUUAAAACAAGUAUUGUAUGUACUGUGUUAUAAUUUAAAACGCUUAAUUAUGUUAGUCCUAAAAAGAUUAAGCCCAAAAGAGAUAUACUUGUUUACAGUGCAAUAGGGAUAUUAAUGGCAAUAGGGAUUUACGAUUUCAUUUGCAGGAAAAACAUGGGCAACCUACCCAGUUGGUAAAAUUUCAAUUCAAAAACUCUUUAGAUUUUACUGUGUGGAUGGCACAGGAAGAGAAACAAAAUAAUAUUCAGUACUGCAGUCACAGGAGUACAAAAACAUGAAGCAUCUUAUUAUGUAUGUAUGCCAUUCUCAAACAAUAAUUAUUGUACAAAACAAGAUAAAGAUAGAGACACAGCUUUAAAAUCCCAAGGAUCCUGCGAAAAGAAAAGUGAAAAUGUCUCAAUUAAUGUAGUAUAGAUAGACAUUUUUCUUUAUUUUAGUAUUAAAUAAUUAUUUAGAAUAUUAAUAUGUAUUAGUUUUAAUAGUAUUCAUAUGUAUUAGUUUUAAUAGUAUUAAUAUGUAUUGUAUGAAUAAUUCCCAUCAUGUAUCUGCUAACUAAAGCAACAAAAUAAAUCAAAAUGAAAAAACA